rnacentral:rRNA from 1 species
GUGCCAGCCGCCGCGGUAACACCGGCGGUCCGAGUGGUGGUCGAUAUUAUUGGGCCUAAAGCGUCCGUAGCUUGCCAGGUAAGUCCUUCGGGAAAUCCGGUUGCUCAACCUCCGGAAUUUCGAAGGAAACUGUCUGGCUUGGGGCCGGAAGGGGCUGCGGGUACGUCGGGGGUAGGGGUGAAAUCCUGUAAUCCUCGACGGACCACCUGUGGCGAAAGCUCGUAGCUGGAACGGACCCGACGGUGAGGGACGAAAGCCAGGGGCACGAACCGGAUUAGAUACCCGUGUAGUCC